rnacentral:rRNA from 1 species
GACGAAGGAUGCAAGCGUUAUCCGGAUUCAUUGGGUUUAAAGGGUGCGUCGGCGGACUGAUAAGUCAGUGGUGAAAUCUCUUUGCUUAACAAAGAAACUGCCAUUGAUACUGUCGGUCUAGAGUAUAGAUGACGUUGGCGGAAUAUGACAUGUAGUGGUGAAAUACUUAGAUAUGUCAUAGAACACCGAUUGCGAAGGCAGCUAACGAAACUAUAACUGACGCUGAGGCACGAAAGUGCGGGGAUCAAACAGG